rnacentral:lncRNA from 1 species
CUCAAAUAACAAUGAAUUUAUUCAAUUCCUACCUGAAAUCUAAGCAUCCAAGAUAUACACAAAGUUUACGAUUUAAAAUUCUGCAACCUGGCUUGACGAGUAUACGAGUAUUUAAUACAAUGUCAAUGGUUAUUGGUACGAUGAAUUCCUUUCUAAACUCAGUUCAGCAUAUGUCCAUCAGUCCAAGUAAAAUAAAUCUGGCCACUUUAUAACCACGUUCUUGUCCUCGGUCUUGCUCGCAAUAUCAAUAACCACGUUUUGCAACUAACAUUGUAUUGUAACAAUUAAUAGUUAGAUACGUUGAACCUUGCUGUAUACGCAAUACUUCUCUUGGAAACCCUAGAAUAUUAAUCUUGCUUUCACUAUCUCAAAACAAC